UAGCGUAUAUUAAAGUUGUUGCAGUUAAAAAGCUCGUAGUUGGAUUUCUGGUGGGAGUGAUCGGUCUGCCCCGUUAGGGGUGUGUACUAGUGUCGUCUCUUGCCAUCCUUGGGGAGAGCUUGCCUGGCAUUAGGUUGUCGGGCAAGGGAUCCCCAUCCUUUACUGUGAAAAAAUUAGAGUGUUUAAAGCAGGCUUAGGCCGUUGAAUACAUUAGCAUGGAAUAAUAAGAUAGGACUUUGGUGGUCUAUUUUGUUGGUUUGCACACCAAGGUAAUGAUUAAUAGGGACAGUUGGGGGUAUCCGUAUUUCGUAGUCAGAGGUGAAAUUCUUGGAUUUACGAAAGACGAACUACUGCGAAAGCAUUUACCAAGGAUGUUUUCAUUAAUCAAGAACGAAAGUUAGGGGAUCGAAGAUGAUUAGAUACCAUUGUAGUCAUAACCAUAAACUAUGCCGACUAGGGAUUGGCGGUCGUUAAUUUUAUGACUCCGCCAGCACCUUAUGAGAAAUCAAAGUCUUUGGGUUCCGGGGGGAGUAUGGUCGCAAGGCUGAA
rnacentral:rRNA from 1 species